rnacentral:tRNA from 1 species
GCACACGUGGUCUAGCUUGGAUAUGGCGGUGGCCUCCUAAGCCACAUAUCGAGGGUUCGAAUCCCCCCGUGUGCG